rnacentral:lncRNA from 1 species
UUUUUUAAAAUUAUAAUUACGGAAAAUUAUCCCAUAUACCAUUCGAAAAGAGAGGAACAUGGUAUGGUAGGUACAAACAAGUUGCCGAGCUUAUUGUUAUAGUGUAGUGAAGUACGAAAUGUCAAAAAUAUCCUUGAGUUUGAUAAUGAAUUAACGUAAAUGACCAGCUUGAGAACAAGGAUCGAUGGCUAGUUGAUUUCUGAAGUUCAUAAAAGCCAGUUGUAGCGCCAGGUUGUUGGAACCAGAUUAAAUCAAUUAGGCUGGUAUUGUGUCUUGGCGAAGUAGUCAAUUGGCGGAGUGGUGUCAGAAGCGAAAAAACGAUGGUGAGGGGGGACAUGCUGUUGUGGUGGUUGAUGAUUGAAUCUUCAUCGUCAAAAGUGGGGUGGGUUUAGAGCUGGGCCAUCUGGAGGUGGAAAAAAUGGCAUCAUGUAGCCGAACCGCACCGGAUAUUGACAAUGCAUGGUGGGGAAGGCUCCUUCGAUGGCAUCGGCGAAGAUGGUGAUGUUGAUGGUUAUGCUCUGGUAUGAAUGAUGUUUAAUAAUUUGCAUGUUUUCAUUGUUUCAAUUACAAUUUCUAAUUUAGAUGAACAUACGCAAGUGUGGUAAUUUUUUCCUUUAAUCUGGGCAGCAAGGAUCGCUGGACAUUGGAAUAGAAGCGGAAGAGUUUCACGGGGAAUCAUACGAUGAAUGCGAAGAUAAGGGUAAAGUCCCCUGUGAACCAGUAAUGUAUAGUACUGCUGAGAUAUUGGAGAUGGAGUUCCACAAUUCCAUUAUUACCUCAUCAAUCUCAUCAGUCAUCACUUUAGGAACUCUAACUUUAUAAAUGAACAUAAACAACAUUUGUGCCUACAGUACGGGCACACUUCAUAUGCUUAUUGCUUCUUUUCCUUAUUUUUAAUCUCUUUAGCUUUCGUUUAUGCGUAUGCCACCACUGCCAUCCUUUUCUGCCACGUAAAAUCAUUCUGCGCCCUUUAUGCUUCAAACUUCCAUUAAUGUCACUGCACAAUACUAUAUGGGACUGUACCGGGCAAUUUCCUUCAGGAAUAAUCAUAAGCCAUAGCCACAACCAGCC